GACGAACGCUGGCGGCGUGCUUAACACAUGCAAGUCGAACGGAAAGGCCCUGCUUUUGUGGGGUGCUCGAGUGGCGAACGGGUGAGUAACACGUGAGUAACCUGCCCUUGACUUUGGGAUAACUUCAGGAAACUGGGGCUAAUACCGGAUAGGAGCUCCUGCUGCAUGGUGGGGGUUGGAAAGUUUCGGCGGUUGGGGAUGGACUCGCGGCUUAUCAGCUUGUUGGUGGGGUAGUGGCUUACCAAGGCUUUGACGGGUAGCCGGCCUGAGAGGGUGACCGGCCACGUUGGGACUGGGCUACGGCCCAGACUCCUACGGGAGGCAGCAGUGGGGAAUAUUGCACAAUGGGCGGAAGCCUGAUGCGGCAACGCCGCGUGCGGGAUGACGGCCUUCGGGUUGUAAACCGCUUUCGCCUGUGACAAAGCGUGAGUGACGGUAAUGGGUAAAGAAGCACCGGCUAACUACGUG
rnacentral:rRNA from 1 species